AUUGAACGCUGGCGGCAGGCCUAACACAUGCAAGUCGAGCGAGCGGCGGACGGGUGAGUAAUGUAUGGGAACCUGCCUGAUGGAGGGGGAUAACUACUGGAAACGGUAGCUAAUACCGCAUACCAUCAGAUGUGCCCAUAUGGGAUUAGCUAGUAGGUGGGGUAACGGCUCACCUAGGCGACGAUCCCUAGCUGGUCUGAGAGGAUGACCAGCCACACUGGGACUGAGACACGGCCCAGACUCCUACGGGAGGCAGCAGUGGGGAAGAUUGCACAAUGGGCGCAAGCCUGAUGCAGCCAUGCCGCGUGUGUGAAGAAGGCCUUCGGGUUGUAAAGCACUUUCAGUCGGGAGGCGUUACCGACAGAAGAAGCACCGGCUAACUCCGUGCCAGCAGCCGCGGUAAUAC
rnacentral:rRNA from 1 species